GAUGAACGCUGGCGGCGUGCCUAAUACAUGCAAGUCGAGCGAACAGACGAGGAGCUUGCUCCUCUGACGUUAGCGGCGGACGGGUGAGUAACACGUGGAUAACCUACCUAUAAGACUGGGAUAACUUCGGGAAACCGGAGCUAAUACCGGAUAAUAUAUUGAACCGCAUGGUUCAAUAGUGAAAGACGGUUUUGCUGUCACUUAUAGAUGGAUCCGCGCCGCAUUAGCUAGUUGGUAAGGUAACGGCUUACCAAGGCAACGAUGCGUAGCCGACCUGAGAGGGUGUUCGGCCACACUGAAAUGGAGACACGGCCCAGACCCCUACGGGAGGCAGCAGUAGGAAUCCUUCCGCAUUGGGCGAAGGCCUGACGAGGCAACGCGGGGUGGGUGAUGAAGGUCUUCGGUUCGUAAAACUCUGUAAUUGGGAAAGAACAAAGGUGUAAGUAACUAUGCACGUUUGAACGGUACCUAAUCAGAAAGCCACGGCUAACUACGU
rnacentral:rRNA from 1 species